rnacentral:tRNA from 1 species
UCCCUGGUGGCUCAGAUGGUAAAGAAUCUGCCUGCAAUGCAGGAGACCCAGGUUCAAUCCCUGGGUAGGGAA